rnacentral:rRNA from 1 species
UACGUAGGGUGCAAGCGUUGUCCGGAAUUAUUGGGCGUAAAGAGCUCGUAGGCGGUUUGUCGCGUCGAAUGUGAAAACCCGGGGCUCAACCCCGGGCCUGCAUUCGAUACGGGCAGACUGGAGUUCGGUAGGGGAGUCUGGAAUUCCUGGUGUAGCGGUGAAAUGCGCAGAUAUCAGGAGGAACACCGGUGGCGAAGGCGGGACUCUGGGCCGAUACUGACGCUGAGGAGCGAAAGCGUGGGGAGCGAACAGG